rnacentral:rRNA from 1 species
GAAAUGCGAUAAGUAAUGUGAAUUGCAGAAUUCAGUGAAUCAUCGAAUCUUUGAACGCACCUUGCGCUCCUUGGUAUUCCUUGGAGCAUGCCUGUUUGAGUAUCAUG